UCUCUUACCCAUGUCUUUUGAGUACCUUCGUUUCCUCGGCGGGUUCGCCCGCCGAUUGGACAAUUUAAACCAUUUGCAGUUGCAAUCAGCGUCUGAAAAAACAUAAUAGUUACAACUUUCAACAACGGAUCUCUUGGUUCUGGCAUCGAUGAAGAACGCAGCGAAAUGCGAUAAGUAGUGUGAAUUGCAGAAUUCAGUGAAUCAUCGAAUCUUUGAACGCACAUUGCGCCCCUUGGUAUUCCAUGGGGCAUGCCUGUUCGAGCGUCAUUUGUACCUUCAAGCUCUGCUUGGUGUUGGGUGUUUGUCUCGCCUCUGCGUGUAGACUCGCCUCAAAACAAUUGGCAGCCGGCGUAUUGAUUUCGGAGCGCAGUACAUCUCGCGCUUUGCACUCAGAACGACGACGUCCAAAAGUACAUUUUUACACUCUUGACCUCGGAUCAGGUAGGGAUACCCGCUGAACUUAAGCAUAUCAAUAGCCGGAGGAA
rnacentral:rRNA from 1 species